rnacentral:rRNA from 1 species
GACAGAGGGUGCAAACGUUGUUCGGAAUUACUGGGCGUAAAGCGUGUGUAGGCGGCCGUGUAAGUCAGGUGUGAAAGCCCCAGGCUCAACCUGGGAAGUGCACUUGAUACUGCGCGGCUCGAGUAUCGGAGAGGUUGGUGGAAUUCUCGGUGUAGAGGUGAAAUGCGCAGAUAUCAGGAAGAACACCCGUGGCUAAGGCGGCUCUCUAGUACGAUACUGACGCUGAGACGCGAAAGCGUGGGGAGCGAACAGG